GGAGAGGUCGCAUAGUGGUCUAGUGCGCCGCACUCGAAAUGCGGUGAGGCGCAAGUCUCCGUGGGUUCGAAUCCCACCCUCUCCGCCA
rnacentral:tRNA from 1 species